GACGAACGCUGGCGGCGUGCUUAACACAUGCAAGUCGAACGGAAAGGCCCUGCUUUUGUUUGGUGCUCGAGUGGCGAACGGGUGAGUAACACGUGAGUAACCUGCCCUUGACUUUCUGAUAACUUCAGGAAACUGGGGCUAAUACCGGAUAGGAGCUCCUGCUGCAUGGUGUGGGUUGGAAAGUUUCGGCGGUUGGGGAUGGACUCGCGGCUUAUCAGCUUGUUGGUGGGGUAGUGGCUUACGAAGGCUUUGACGGCUAGCCGGCCUGAGAGGGUGACCGGGCACCUUGGGACUGCGAUACGGCCCAGAAUCCUACGGGAGGCAGCAGUGGGGAAUAUUGCAGAAUGGGCGGAAGCCUGAUGCAGCAACGCCGGGUGCGGGAUGACGGCCUUCGGGUUGUAAACCGAUUUCGCCUGUGACGAAGAGUGAGUGACGGUAAUGGGUAAAGAAGCACCGGCUAACUACGUG
rnacentral:rRNA from 1 species